rnacentral:tRNA from 1 species
UGAUCCAUGGUCGAAUUGGUCAUGGCAUCGCCCUUUAGAUGCGAAGCGCGGGUUCGUGUCUCGCUUGAUUGG